AUUGAACGCUGGCGGCAGGCUUAACACCUGCAAGUCGAACGAGCGGCGGACGGGUGAGUAAUGUCUGGGAAACUGCCUGAUGGAGGGGGAUCACUACUGGAAACGGUAGCUAAUACCGCAUACCAUCAGAUGUGCCCAGAUGGGAUUAGCUCGUAGGUGGGGUAACGGCUCACCUAGGCGACGAUCCCUAGCUGGUCUGAGAGGAUGACCAGCCACACUGGAACUGAGACACGGUCCAGACUCCGACGGGAGGCAGCAGUGGGGAAUAUUGCACAAUGGGCGCAAGCGUGAGGCAGCCAUGCCGCGGGUGUGAAGAAGGCCUUCGGGUUGUAAAGCACUUUCAGCGAGGAGGCGUUACUCGCAGAAGAAGCACCGGCUAACUCCGUGCCAGCAGCCGCGGUAAUAC
rnacentral:rRNA from 1 species